GAUGAAGAACGUAGCGAAAUGCGAUACGUAGUGUGAAUUGCAGAAUUCAGUGAAUCAUCGAGUCUUUGAACGCACAUUGCGCCCCCUGGUAUUCCGGGGGGCAUGCCUGUCCGAGCGUCAUUGCUGCCCUCAAGCCCGGCUUGUGUGUUGGGUCUCGUCCCCCUUCCCGGGGGGACGGGCCCGAAAGGCAGCGGCGGCACCGCGUCCGGUCCUCGAGCGUAUGGGGCUUUGUCACCCGCUCUGUAGGCCCGGCCGGCGCUUGCCGAUCAACCAAAACUUUUUUCCAGGUUGACCUCGGAUCAGGUAGGGAUACCCGCUGAACUUAAGCAUAUCAAUAAGCGGAGGA
rnacentral:misc_RNA from 1 species